UGGCUCCAAAACACAUUGGAUGUUCCUUAACAGUGAUUCCUACAAAUUGUGUAGCAUCUUACACUAUUUCAAAGGCUGUCCACUUUCAUACUGCUGCACACCUGGCCAACCACUGCAUAAGACCGAUUCAUAAUAAUGGCUGUGACCUCUCCUGGCCCCACAGGCCGACCUCAUCCACUUCUGCUAAUGUUCCC